AGUGAAUGCUGGCGGUAGGCCUAACACAUGCAAGUCGAACGGCAGCACAGUAAGAGCUUGCUCUUACGGGUGGCGAGUGGCGGACGGGUGAGGAAUACAUCGGAAUCUACUUUUUCGUGGGGGAUAACGUAGGGAAACUUACGCUAAUACCGCAUACGACCUACGGGUGAAAGCAGGGGAUCUUCGGACCUUGCGCGAUUGAAUGAGCCGAUGUCGGAUUAGCUAGUUGGCGGGGUAAAGGCCCACCAAGGCGACGAUCCGUAGCUGGUCUGAGAGGAUGAUCCGCCACAAUGGAACUGAGACACGGUCCCGACUCCUAGGGGGGGCAGAAGUGGGGAAUUUUGGAAAAAGGGGGAAAGCCUGAUCAAGCCAAACCGGGGGGGGGAAGAAGGCCUUCGGGUUGUAAAGCCCUUUUUUUGGGAAAAAAAACCAGCAGGUUAAUACCCCGCUGUUCGGGCGGUACCAAAAAAAAAAGCACCGGCAAACUUCGU
rnacentral:rRNA from 1 species